UGGGGAAUUUUCCGCAAUGGGCGAAAGCCUGACGGAGCAGUACCGCGUGAGGGAGGGAUGCCUUUGGGUUGUAAACCUCUUUUCUCAGGGAAGAAGAUCUGACGGUACCUGAGGAAUAAGUAUCGGCUAACUCCGUGCCAGCAGCCGCGGUAAUACGGAGGAUGCAAGCGUUAUCCGGAAUCAUUGGGCGUAAAGCGUCCGCAGGUGGUUUCCAAAGUCUGCUGAUAAAGACUGGAGCUCAACUCCGGAACGGCGGUGGAAACUUGGAAACUAGAGUUCGGUAGGGGUAGCAGGAAUUCCCAGUGUAGCGGUGAAAUGCGUAGAUAUUGGGAAGAACAUCGGUGGCGAAGGCGUGCUACUGGACCGUAACUGACACUCAGGGACGAAAGCUAGGGGAGCGAAAGGGAUUAGAUACCCCUGUAGUCCUAGCUGUAAACGAUGGAAACUAGGUGUGGCU
rnacentral:rRNA from 1 species